rnacentral:rRNA from 1 species
UACGGGGGGGGCAAGCGUUGUUCGGAAUUACUGGGCGUAAAGGGCUCGUAGGCGGCCCACUAAGUCAGACGUGAAAUCCCUCGGCUUAACCGGGGAACUGCGUCUGAUACUGGAGGGCUUGAGUUUGGGAGAGGGAUGCGGAAUUCCAGGUGUAGCGGUGAAAUGCGUAGAUAUCUGGAGGAACACCGGUGGCGAAGGCGGCAUCCUGGACCAACACUGACGCUGAGGAGCGAAAGCUAGGGGAGCGAACGGG